rnacentral:tRNA from 1 species
UCCCCGAUAGCUCAACGGUAGAGCGAGCGGCUGUUAACCGCUAGGUUCUUGGUUCGAAUCCAAGUCGGGGAGCUA